rnacentral:rRNA from 1 species
AGUGUAGGUGGUUGUCGUAGUCAGGCGUGAAAGCCUUGAGCUCAACUCAAGAAAUGCGCUUGAUACUGGGCAGCUAGAGGACCGGAGAGGAUAGUGGAAUUCCCAGUGUAGUGGUGAAAUACGUAGAGAUUGGGAAGAACACCAGUGGCGAAGGCGGCUAUCUGGACGGUUUCUGACACUAAGACUCGAAAGCGUGGGGAGCAAACAGGAUUAGAUACCCUGGUAGUCCACGCCGUAAACGAUGGGUGCUAGACGUUGGCGAGCUUGCUCGUCAGUGUCGCAGCUAACGCGUUAAGCACCCCGCCUGGGGAGUACGGCCGCAAGGUUGAA